UGAGUAAAUCGCCUUAUCGUUACGCCAUUGGUGUAAAGGAAAGUCCGAACACCGUAGUGCAACGCAGUGGUUAACAGCCACCGGCCGAAAGGUUAGGAAAAGUGCAACAGAAAGUAUGUACGGGUAAUGCCGUAGUGAAACCAGGUAAACUCUGUGUGGUGCAAUGCCAUGUAUACCAGCGCUUGAAAGCGGCACGUUUGAUUGCUGGAGGGUAGGCAGCUAAAGUGUUUUGGUAACAAAACAUUGAGAUAAAUGAUAAGGGCUUUUUCUUUUUGGAAAGGGUACAGAAUUCGGCUUAUAGAUUUGCUUAAAUA
rnacentral:RNase_P_RNA from 1 species